rnacentral:lncRNA from 1 species
CCGUAUUUUGUUAUACUUGCAGAAAUGAGUAACAAGAAAGAUUCAGAGCGUGACAUUGAUUGGCAUCAUUAAUUAUAUAUAUUUUUUUAAAUAUAUAUUUAUUCGUAAAAAUUAUUAAAAUAAUAAAUUUAAAAAAUAUAAAAUCAGAGAUUCAGAAUCCUGUUUAGAAUAAUUCAAGCUACUUAAAUCUAACCUCCAAUUUUUUUUGAGAU